rnacentral:rRNA from 1 species
AUACGGAGGGUGCAAGCGUUAUUCGGAAUCACUGGGCGUAAAGGACGCGUAGGCGGGUUGGCAAGUCAGAUGUGAAAUCCUACAGCUUAACUGUAGAACUGCAUUUGAAACUGCUAACCUAGAGUAUGUGAGGGGGAGAUGGAAUUAGUGGUGUAGGGGUAAAAUCCGUAGAUAUCACUAGGAAUACCGAAAGCGAAGGCGAUCUCCUGGAACAUAACUGACGCUAAGGCGUGAAAGCGUGGGGAGCAAACAGCAUUAGAUACCCUAGUAGUCC